UUUAUUUUUUUAUUUAUUUUUUUUAGUAGAGACAGGUUUCACCAUGUUACCCAGGAUGGUUUCAAUCUCCUGACCUCAUAAUCUGCCCACCUCAGCCUCCCAAAGUGCUGGGACUACAGGUCUGAGCCACCAUGCCCAGCCUAUCAUAGGAUCUUAUGAAGAGAUCAAUUGGAUUUAGAUAAGUGCUUUUAGUUUGGUCUGUAUCUUUUAACUGGACCAUUGGAUUCAGGGUAGAGCCCAAACUGAAUUUUGAAUUCUCAAAAAGAGAGUAAGGCCUUGGGAACCUGGCCAUGCAAUAUUUUUGGUGUGUUUUGCUACAGAAACAUUAUCCCUAGGCUGGGGGCAACCCAGUGCCAAUCAGCCCACUCUGUGAUCAGCCCAUUUCCCAGCCAUUAUAUACACCAGAGUCAAGCAUUCUCACAAUACAAAGUAAUUUCUGAUGCCAUCCAAAGCCAAAAUUAGGUCAUGGAAUGCAAAGGAACAGAGUUUUAGAUCUGAGAGGUCUUUGUUCUCUCUUGGAUUUCCUCUUGGGAUUCCUGGAGGGAAAAACAGCAGUUUUUCACAAAAAUGAGUCUGUGGUGCCUUUUGUGUUUUUCUUAAGGGAUCUCAGGCUAUUCGAGUUUUAUUUUAUUUUAUUUUUUCCUUAUAUGGCAUCAAGGUUGGCAAGAGGAAAGAGGGGCUGAUAGAAAUAAAUAGGGAAGGCCGGGCACAGUGGCUCACUAAUCCUAGUACUUUGGGAGGCCAAGGCAGGCAGAUCGCGAGGUCAGGAGUUCCAGAUCAGCCUGGCCAACAUAGUGAAACCCCAUUUCUACUAAAAAUGCAAAAACUAGCCAGGUGUGGUGGCAUGUGCCUGUAAUCCCAGCUACUCAGGAAGCUGAGGUGGGAGUAUGGCUUGAACCUGGGAGGCAGAAGUUGCAGUAAGUGGAGACCACGUCAUUGCACUCCAGACUCCAGCCUGGGCAACAAUAUGAGAUUCCAUCUAAAAAAAAAAGAAAGAAAGAAAUAAAGAAACAGAAAGUGCAUAUGAUUAGCAGGGGGUUUAAGAAGAGAAACAUUUAGUUGACUGAGAAAUAUUUAUGCAGAGAGAACAGGGACCUUAAAACAAUAUAUACACAUAAAGUCCAAAACAUUAAGUUUUAAUUGUCAAGUUUUGACUACUGAGCUAAAAAAAAAAAGUCUUUCAAAUCUUUUAUUACCAGAUGUUAGCCAGGAGGAGCAUUUCAUAUUCCUGGCUUUUCACCUUCUUUACCAAAAGGUAUCCUCCCGAGUGCCUUAACCAAAGUUAUGACUAUUAGGCUACAAGGUGGCCUUUGUAGUUCUCUGAUGAGGGGGCAAACUGAGCCAUGGCAGAAGUGUUCAAUUUUUUUUUUUUUUUUUUUUUGAGAUGAAGUUUUACUCUGUUGCCCAGGCUGGAGUGCAGUGGCAUGAUCUUGGCUCACUGCAACCUCUGCCUCUAGGAUUCAAGAAAUUCUCCUGCCUCAGCCUCCCUAGUAGCUGGGACUACAAGCAGGAACCACCACGCCAGGCUAAUUUUUGUAUUUUUAGUAGAGAUGGGGUUUCACCACGUUGGCCAGGAUGUUCUCAAUCUCUCCACUGGGAAUGCGGCAGCAGAAAAGAGAAGGUGGUACUGAUUUCUCUGUUCCAAAGAGAAGGAAAAUGUUUGUGUGUGUGUGUGUGUGUGUGUGUGUGUGUGUGUGUGUGUGUGUUUUCAGAAUCCAGUAGACAACUUGCCAAUAUUGACAGGACUGUGAGAGGCCAGUGUGGCAUUAAGCUUGGGACAGUAAUGCAGUCUGUGAAAACCCCUGCUCCCCCACAUCUGACAAAGAAAAGGAUAGGCUGGUUUACCCAAAUUUUAUGUAUAGGCUUCAUAAUUUCUUUCUUUUUCUUUUUGUUUCUUUCUUCUUCUUUUUUUUGAGUCAGAGUUUCACUCUUGCUGCCCAGACUGGAGUGCAAUGAUGUGAUCUCAGCUCACUGCAACCCCGCCUCCCAGGCUCGAGUGAUAUCUGCCUCAGCCUCCCAAGUAUCUGGGAUUACAGGCACCCACUGCCAUGUCCAGCUAAUUUUUUGUAUUUUUAGUAGAAAUGGGGUUUCACUAUGUUGGCCAGGCUGAUCUCAAACUCCUGACUUCAGGACAUCUGCCCUCCUCGAACUCCCAAAGUAAUGGAAUUACAGGCUUGUAAUCCCACCAUGGCUGGGCAAGCCUCAGUGUUUCCUGUGAUCCAGAGCCUCACCACUGCCUAUGCAGAUCUGAGCAAACAGAAAAGAGGUCUAGAAAAUCAUAUUAAACAAGCAAAAGUCAUACUUAUGGGAUGAACACUCUAUGCAGUGGCACUCUCUUCUGUGGCCUCUUCUGGAUUGGCUGAGGGAGGUGCAUGAGGACUGCAGACUUCACAGGGAGAUAGUUUACUUGACACAGGAUUGCUUUGAUCAAUACGUGACAGCACAGAAUGUUGUAAAAUCACUUUUACAGAUGAUUGGGAUUUUAUCUUUAUUUACUGCAGCCAAACCUGAGGAAAUCUGCUCUUCACAGUUGCCCCAGUGUGCAGCUUUGGGGCUUGUUCAGGACAUAAAAUUCUUACUGUGGAAUGAGUGAGUGUGAAGGCCCCUGAGUGGUGCUUAAGUCCCCUGGCCACUGUGUCCUGGCUGAAUGUAUACAUGCAGGUGGCGUCUCUAAAUGGCUCAUACAAAGUGCUGUUGCCACGGCCUCCCCAGCAAAUGUUUACAGAUUGCGGAGCUUUCAGAUCUCCGUGUGCUGGAUGCUGACUGCUUAGAAUUUUCCUAGGAUGUACUCACUGCUUCUGCCUUGUGUUUCUCUUUCCUUGAAUUGACACAAAAGGUUUAAGAGCAUCCGUGGUGUGACAGAGAGAACUGUGUCAAGUGGAUGGUUCCAUUUGCCAUGGUUACAAGGGAGACUGGGAGCUCAGAACUGAAGCACUUCACAGGGGUUCCUGCUGAAGACGCACACAGCAUACAGACCCACAGACACAGCUUGGAUUUUCUGGACAAAGCCCAAAGAGAGCAACAUUGUCUGAACAAAAUAGGAUUUCUCCUGUCUCCAUUGAGGUCCUCACCCCUCUCCACAGAGCAGUAAAAUGCACAGUAGAGGACAGGGAGCACUGUGGCCACACCAACAUUCUCCACCAAAGGCACUGUGUGGAAGGGGCUGCUCAGCUCUGUUCUGUCUACUGCCGCAGAGGCAUGUGUUAGCUUUUACAGACAUGUAAAUGGAAGAUGGCAUCUCUUCUGCAGUAGAAGUAUUUCUGUGGAUGGCAUUGGGCAGGGAGAAGUGGUUUUGAUUGACUGCUUAGACUUUUCUCAAGUUCAAGAAAUUCUCCUGCCUCAGCCUCUUCAGCAGCUGGGAUUAUAGGUGCCCACCACCACAUCUAGCUGUUUUUUUGUAUUUUUAAUAGAGAUGGGGUUUCACCAUGUUGGUCAGGCUGGUGUCAAACUCCUGAUCUCAGGUGAUCCACCCGCCUCGGCCUCCCAAAGUGCUUGGAUUACAGGCAUGAGCCUCCACAUCUGGCUGCUUAGACUUUUAAAAUAAAUGAGUCAAGUACAUCAGCCUCCUCCAGAACACCAGUAAGUGCUUCAGAUGCUGCCAAGGAGGAUAACGCUAGACUUGAUUGGUUGUUGACACAAUAGCACCAGCUUGAAGGUGAGGAGUGCAGCUGUUGCUGUUGGUCUCUCCUCGGGGGAUCUGCACCGUGUGGUACUAAGUGGAGCAGGUAGUUGUGAGAAGCUUUUUGUGAUUCAGAGCCACAGCUGGGGCUGCUCUUCUCACACUAUCUGUUGACAAUGCAUAAUGUCUUUUAUGGAUGCUUGUUUUCUAAGUGCUGCUAUCCUUCUUUUUUUUUUCUUUGGAGGUGGAGUCUCGCUUUGUCACUGAGGCUGGAGUGCAGUGGCGCAAUCUUGGCUCACUGCAACCUCCACCUGCUGAGUUCAAGCAAUUCUCCUGUCUCAGUCUCUUCAGCCCCCCUCGAUGGCACUGGUGUUGAAGUUAUUUCCACAUUCAAUAGGAUUCUUAGGUAUAAUUUCUUUCCUAGGCCUGGCUGAAGGUCAUAAAGAAUCUGUAAUCAGCAUUAUUUAAUACUCUUUUCACCGUUACGCAUAUCUUAUUGUAAAGAAUAAGUGGGCCAGGCACAGUGGCUCAUGUCUGUAAUUCUACCAUUUUGGGAGGCUGGAAGCAGGCGAAUCACCAGAUCAGGAGUUCGAGACCAGCCUAGCCAAUGUGGUGAAACCCCAUUUCUUCUAAAAAUACAAAAAUUAGCUGGGCAUAGUAGUGCACACCUGUAAUCCCAGCUACUCAGGAGGUUGAGACUGGAGAACCGUUUGAACAAAGGAGGCGGAGAUUGCAGUGAGCUGAGAGCAGAACAUUGCACUCCAGCCUGGGCAACAGAGUGAGACUCCAUCUAAAAAAAAUUAAUUUUGUUUGGAGAAUUUGUUAAUGUAGUAGCCUAAAGCUAUGAUUUUAAGAAAAAAAUGCGCAGUAAAUUUCUAUGUAGCUGAAGGGCAUGGUGUCAGUAUACGGUCUGUUCCCUGGCCAUUGAUGGUACCACUAAGUGCCUUACUAAUGGUCACUGUCCACCUGAAGGCCUAAUGUGUACAGCUCCCAUCAUUGUUAUUAGUAUUUUGAGGCAGAGUCUUGCUCUGUCACUCACUGUGGAGUGCAAUUGUGCAGUCUCAGGUCACUGCAACCUCAGCCUCCCGAGUAGCUGGGAUUACAAGCAUUGCAUCGUAUUUUGUUGGAUAUUACUGAGGUGGUGGCCUUAUUAAGUCUUGUGUUUCCCUUCUAACAAUGCUUCAGCAUGUGUGGCUCUACAUACAAGGGGGGGUUGAAUGAAUAAAUAAAUGACAUGUGUGGUUUUGUUUUUAGAGCUAUACCUUUGGAUUAUGGCAAACCCUAGGAUAUUUAAGUGAAUUCCCUGAGGAAUGUGAGCACUGUAAACAGGUGAGUGUGUUAUUCUCUACUUCCCUCUCCCCACAGAGCAGUUGUUCACCAUAAUCCACCCUGACCCCUGCACUAGGAGGCACACCAAACAGCACCUGCCCCUCCACCAGCCCUUCUCUUCCCACCUGCCCCUGCCUCAGCACAGCAGAUCCUCAGAAUCCAAAAAGAAAACCUACUCUCCUGUUCUCUGUCUCUUUGUUUGUUUUGUUUUGUUUUGAGACAGAGUUUUGCUCUUGUUGCCCGGGCUGGAGUGGAAUGGCGCAAUCUUCGCUCACCACACCUUCCCUGCCUGGGUUCAAGUAAUUCUCUUGCCUCAGCCUCCUGAGUAACUAAGAUUACAGGUGACCACCACCAAGCCAGACUAAUUUUUGUAAUUUUUUUUGAAACGGGAUUUCAUCAUGUUAGCCAGGCUGAUCUCCAACUCCUGACCUCAGGUGAUCUGCCCACCUCAGCCUCCAAAAGUGCUGGAAUUACAAGCAUGAGCACCGUGCCUGGCCCCCAUGUUCUCUUAAUAGUUUGCAAUAUCUGGCUGAGCACAAUGGCUCAUACCUGUAAUCCCAGCACUUUAAGAGGCCCAGGUGUGCAGAUCCCCUGAGGUUGGGAGUUCGAGACCAGCCUGAUCAAAGUGGAGAAAUCUUGUGUCUACUAAAAAUACAAAAUUAACCAGGCUUGAUGGUGUGUACCUAUAAUCCCACAUACUUGGAAGGCUGAGGCAGGAGAAUUGCUUGAACCUGGGAGGCAGAGGUUGUGGUGAGCCGAGAUCUGCCAUUGCACUCCAACUAGGGAAAGAAGAGCAAAACUCUGUCUCAAAAAAAAAAAAUAGUUUGUAAUAUCUUAGCACAGCUUCAAAGAAAGUAUGUGAGAACAAUAACUCAUAGAGCAAGACAUCUAUUUAGAGUGAGUGAGUCACAGGGGAGAUUUGGGAGGGAAACACUGUAACCCUCUCAUUCCCAGAAAAGGAAGGUUGAUCCAGGGAAGGGGACCCCAGGCCUGGAUAUUGGGACUCUGUGGAAAGGGACUCUGUGGAAAGGGGUUCUGGCGCAUCAGGGGAAUGGGUCCCUCUCCCUACAUCCUCUCUGUGCUAUGCUUGGGAGGAGGCACAGUUCAUUAGCUGUGCAGCUGGGGGAAGAGAAGUCAGGAUUCAGAGACAAGGGAGCUGAGAACAAUCUGUGUCUUGUCGGUCUGCACAAGGCAACUCUCAACUGUGGAGAACACGGUAAUGACCAGAUUCAGCUCUGCCACUCUCAGCCUCGACACCCCGAGCAUUAUGGGCAGCCCAUUGCCAUCCCCUACCUUCAAAUCCAGAGAUCCCCUACAGCACAAAGCUGCUCCCCAGUCAACUCCCAUUGACAAUGGGCCCCAAGGAUCACAUUUCAGGAAGCUGUGAACACAACAUCAGAUCAGGGACCCUGUCACCACCUGGAGAGUGAUAAUAAAGAGGACCUGGCAGAGCCUGCAGGAGGAGACUGUAUUUGAGGCAGGACCGUGGGAUGGGUGAGGAACAGGACCGGGACUCCAUCCUCUCUAUUCCAGGGGUUAGAGAUGAGCUACCCUCUGCUGCCCCUUCCUUGCUGGUUUUUAUAAAGUAGACCCUCCUGAUGUUCUUACAAGGAGAGAAGACCCUGUUAGGUGCCAUGGUAGAGCUGGGCUCGAGGGUCAAUGAAUACCUGGUUUAUAUUGCUACCAGCUGAGAUUAGGAAAUUAAAUCAUUAAGCCCAGGACCCAGGACAGGAGAAAAAGACAGUGGAGGACCCUGCAAACAGUCUCCUGGGUGUCUGUUUGCAGAAAAGUUCUUUCCUUCAGGGUUCAGGGCACCCAGUAUUGUGAUUCUGAGUGUUGCUAUCCUGCUGUUCUCAUCUGUGAAUGGGGCUGGACCCCUACCUUCCUCCAAUAUAAAUAACUGGGAGGAUCUGUCCACAUACACCUGGUACCUACAUAUUAGUUAAUACUGCACAAAAGUUUGGUUUAAUAUUUUAUGUCUUGUAAGAAAUAAACAAAAUAGAAGGAUGAUAUUUUUAUUAAAGGUAAUUCAGGUUAUGUGAGAAUCAGAUUCCUGGGGCCAUGGAAAACUUAUCCGGAUAUUUAGAAUCCUCAUGGAGGAUCAGGGGAGUACAGAGCCCAGAAAUGGCCAUGAGACCUGAAGCUCCCUCGUGUAAAGGAUCCUCCCCUGCACUCUGGGGCUCAGGGGAAAGAGCACAGCUGAACCCAGGGUCUCCAGCCUCCGGCCUCUACUGUCAGCCUGCACUUUCUCAGCCUUCCUGGCUGCCAAGCUUCUGGUUCUCAGCAGCCUCCUCUCUCAUUCUUCACCUCUUCUGAUUGGGGCCAUUGGCCACUUGACGGGCAGUUCCCUCCUUGUCAGUCUGCCUGGCUCCCUCUCAGGGUUUGUGGCUUGACUGGAUUCACCAUCCCCAGCUCCAGCAGGAACAGGGAGAAGGGACUCAGCAAGUGUCCCACAAAACAAUGGGAUCCCUACAGGUGAGAAGGGGCAAAGCCAUCUCUCCAGUCUCUUUGGUACCUGAGAACUUCUUGCACAUCCCAGCUCCAAGACCGGAGCAGGAAGUAGUGCUAAGCCGGAAAUAGUUCCCAUGAUGCUUAGGAUGAGCUUGGAAGGUGAUUCUGAGAAGAGAAUGAAAGGGGCCUGGACUGUCAGGUCAAAAUCCUGACCCUGCCACAGGGUCCAGUGCAGCUUCCAUUGUGCCAGUUCUGUGAAGGGAUUCCCACCGUAUACCCAUUUUUACCCACCUCAGUAUAAGGGGUAUAUCCUAAAUCUGAGUCUGGUCCUCCCCUUUCCACAGUCAAAUCAGCAUAAUCUCUGCUGGUAGAAGCCCUGGGCCCAGAAUCUCAAGGUGACUUUCCCAUCAGGUCCUGAGUGAAGGUGAAUGCUCUGAGGACAGUCAGAGGCUGAGCCAUAUUGAGUCAUAUACAGUAGGAUUCUCAUGGAUAGAGAACAUUUAAUGGGAAUCUCAGCCAGCACCUUCUUGUGAGAGAUCCAGCAACAAUUUUCAAAGUUAAAAAUAGGUUCAGGAUAAGCAAGUUUCCUAAUCUCUAAUACCCUCUUUCUACAAACGUGUCUCACUGUCUGCAAAGCACUCUUUUGCUUUUAAUCUUAAUGAUAUUAUUUUUCAGUUUUAAAAAAGAAAAAAAACCAAAACACCCUGGAAUGAAGAAUUUCUUCACGUGCACACCAUUUUUCUUAUGUGCGGUGCCUUUCAUUCACAUUUCUGUGCAUUCACACAUUUGUGAUUGUACUUUUUUGUUUUAAUUUAGAAUCACUUGUUAAUUCCACUGUCAAGUUAAUAUUGUCAAUGGGAAUUAAGAUAAAUUUUACAUGCAUUUCCUCAAAAUUCAUUACUUGAUCCACUUAUUCACUCUAAGCCCAUGUUAACUGCCAUUCUUUAAAUCUCAUCUUUUAUUAAUGCUUUCAUUUAUUAAUUCAAUCAAAUGCCACUGAAGUUUAUAGCAAAAGGCAUCAAAGAAGGCAGAAUGUUCCUAUUUCUUCUGGGAUUAAUGAGAGUAGAAUGAUGUGAAGGGCAGAGGGACAAGAGGCCUCACAGAGGCAGACCAGAUAUAAUGAUACUGGACUCCCUGGCCAGAAACUGACUUGCAGGUUCAGGAAUCAGGGUUCAGGAUUCAGGAGUAAAGAAUCCCAAUAUUUAGAAGAUCUAAUGGUCUCUCAAAGCCUUGCUCAUUUGACCAGGCCUAAGAGCCUCACAUAUUUUGCUUUGAGGAUCCAAGAUUAGAAUUUGACUGUCUCUGGGACAUUUCAUGUUAUAGAAAGCCCAGCAGGUGUAGACAAAGGGUCUAGAGGGCACCAGCCACCCUUCCAUGAAACUCUCUCUAUUACUUACAUUGACCACAUCCUCAGAGAUUUAGUGAAAUGGCUAUGUUGCCUCUGAGUGGAAGUGAGGGGAGGUCACUGGGUAGUCAGAGAUUUUGAAUCCGUGUCCUUUCCCUUCAUCUCACUUGUGGAAGCCCAUGAAAAAAAGACACAAAUGUCAGAGGUGAAUCCAGUCCCUUGGAUCCAUUGUUGUCAGAGAACUGAAGCCAAGUGGCCCAACAGUAAUGAAGUCUAUGAGGCUUUGGUCCCCUCAAAGCUCUCCUCCAUUAGGAGCUUCCUCUCACUGUCAUCAGGGACCACAGGAAUUGGACAUGGAAUUCUUUGUCAUGUCUGAUGAGGAGUUGGAGAGGUCCCAGAGUAUAUAGACCUUGAUCAAAUUGGAGCCAGAGUGGAGUCAGGCAAAACUCUGCACUGACUCAGAGGCACCAAGUAUGAAAUAAAGUCUCCAUUCAGAGCUUCCACCAGGGCAUCAAGCUCAGUAGCAAUUCCUUUCUGCUGUUGCUAUAUUUGCCCUGUGACAACUGGUACUUGAAGUAAGGAGAAAUAGUUAUGUGUGCAGGAAAGCACAUGCAAUGAGAAAACUGGGACAUGAUUUGUUAGGCAGGAGGGACUCUUUUCUCUUUCAUGGUAGAUAUGGUACUCUGUCAUCUAUGCCCUGAUGUCUCAAGCACAGAAGGUAAAUUUCUUGCUCUUAGUUGAGUGGCCAACAUUGGGAGCUGAAAUUUAGAGAAUCAGUGGCAGCCUCUCUCCCUCCAUCCCCCAUCUCAGUAAAUCUAAGGCAAGGGCUUAGGGCUUUUGCACUUUAUUUUCACCAUGCAUUUUCCUUAUCUGGUUAAGAAAAUAACAAAAUGGUUGGGAUUGCAUCUGUAAUCCCAGCAUUUCAGAAGGCUAAGAUGGAAGGAUCACCUGAGGUCAGGAGUCCAAGACCAACCUGGCCAACAUGGAAAAACCCCAUCUCGACUAAAAGUACAAAAAUUAGCCAGGCAUAGUGGCAUACACCUGUAGUCACAGCUACUCAGGAGGCUGAGGCAUGAGGAUCACUUGAACCUGGAAGGUGGAGGUUACAGUCAGCUGAGAUUGUAUUGCUAUACUCCAGCCUGUGUGAUAGAGUGAGACCUUGUCUCAAGAAAAAAAGAAAGAAAGAGAAGGAAAAAGAAAGAAAGAAAGAAAGAAAGAAAGAAAGAAAGAAAGAAAGAAAGAAAGAAAGAAAGAAAGAAAGAACAUAUCCAAAGGUAUAAAAAUCAAGAGUUGCAAUUCUGCAAUUCUGGUGGCACCCAGAGUACUGGACUAGACCAAGGGUGCCAUGUGCUUGUCACUGCCCCACCACUCAAUGGCUGUGACCUCAGGAGAAUGUUUCCAAGUCCUGGUGUUUUUUAAUUCAUCUGUGAGUCAUGGAGAAACACAUCCAUUCUACUGAGAGUAAAUGAGAACACAUCUCAUCCUUACUGAGAUGCAGUGAGGGUCUCUCCAGUACCAAGGGGUAAAUGCAGAGAGAAACAUGAAAGUGAAGUCAUUAGCUUUUAGGAUUUUAAGAAGCAUGACCCUUAAAAGCAGGUCGAAAAUAUAUAAUACUUACAAAGCCCUGAGUAAAAAUCCCCUUUUACUUUAGUAAUGAUUAUAAAACAAUUAUUUCUCCUAAUUUCUAGAAAACUAGGGGGAAAACUUGCUCUUCAGCAUCUUAAGAAACUUAAAUACAGCUUAUGAUUAUAUAUAAGAUUGGAACCACAAGCUUCAUUCUGAGGAAUCUGAAAAGAAAUGGGGACAUCUCCACUUUUUUGAGUGGCAACCAUGGGACCCAAAGUGGCUUGGAAAUGACCUUUUAUCAUCUAUGCUUGUCAAUUUUUAAUUGAUUCACUAAAUUCUUAGAAAACCCAGAUAAUUCAUACCCUGGAAAAAUUCCAGGUCCAGAUACUAGGCAGGGUAAUGUGGUUUAAUUUGUUAGGGAAGCCAUAACAAAGUACCACACGCUGAGUAACUUAAACAACAGAAAUUGCCAGACACAGUGGCUCAUGCCUGUAAUCCAAGCACUUUGGGAGGCUGAGGUGAGUGAAUCACAAGGUCAAGAGAUUGAGAUCAUCUUGGCCAACAUGGUGAAACCCCAUCUCCACUAAAAAUACAAAAAUGAGCUGAGUGUGGUGGUGCAUGGAGUAGCAUGAGCUACUCAGGAGACCGAGUCAGGAGACUCACUUGAUCCUGGGAGGUGGAGGUUGCCUUAAGCCAAGAUCGUGCCAUUGCACUCCAGCCUGGUUGACAGAGCAAGACUUUGUCUCAAAAACAACAACAAAACAAACAAUUUAAAAAAACAGAAAUUUAUUGUAUCACACUGUUACGGUUCUGGAGGCUGGAAGUCCAAGAUAAUGGUGUUGGCAGUACACAUUUCUUCUGAGGCCUGUAGAUGUCUUCUCCCUAGGUCUUCACAUGGUCAUUCCUCUGUAUCUGUCUGUUUCCUAGUUUUCUCUUUUUAUAAGGACGCCAGCCACACUGAAUUUGGGCCCACUCAUAUGACCUCAUUUUACCUUAAUGACCACCUUAAAGAUCUCUCCAAAUGCAGUCACCUUCUCAGUUACUGGGGUUUAGGACAUCAACAUGUCAAUUUGCAGGGAUAGAAUUUGGCCCAUAACAAUCUGGAUUAUUCUUCAGUUUGCAUUUUCUAAAGAAUAAAAUGGAGUAAAUCUCUUAGGCUUGACUCCGUCUCUUGACACUGUGAAAUUUUGUUCUUGCAAUGAGAACAAAAAAAAAGGAGAGUCAAAGGUUGGUGUCACCCAGAAUGUGAGCGCUCCCUAACUCUAGCUGCCCCAAGACCUAGUGCUGUGCCGUUCCUGCAAGUCUUGCUCUAUUCUAGUGAUUCUGGCUCCAGCUUUUCAACUGGGAAUAGGAUUCUUUCCAAGGGGAAAAACUUCUACUGCUGUACAGGCUUCUUUUCUUUAUAUUUGCAGAACAAAAAAAGUUGAUGUAAUAAAAAGAAUGUAUGUGUCAAAUUUUUGUGAUAAUUAUUUUUAUAUCCUUAUCAAUACCCCAUAUAGUGAUGAAUACGUUGGCUUCAUUUUGGUGGAAGGGACAUGACAAUGGACCUUUUGAGCCAGGAUUUCUCUAGGUCUUUUCAUGGAAUUCAGUCCCUGCCAUGGUGGGUGAAGGGAGAGCUCUUGGUGUAGGGUUUAGUCUUUACAACAAACAAUGCUGUUUGGGCAGCUGAUUUAGCUCUGCAAGCUUGAAAGUUAUGCAGGAGUGUGAUCCUCCUCCCCUUUCAAAAGAUCAAGGUAGAGCAGGUUUUUGUUCAUGGUGCAGUGAGUGAGAGAAGGGAAAGUGACAGAGAACAUUCUUUCACCACUUUGUGGCAUGCACACAUCCAAGUCUCUGGUGUUUUAAAUAAUUGAAACAGGCCUAGAUACACUUAUCUGUAAGGCAGAACUGUGGAGGAGGGAAGCAUAUCAUCUCCACCACUGGAGAGAUCCCUGAAGAGAGAUUUGUGAGUCCCCAUUUAACCAAAAAUGACACAAAAUUUCAUCAAAAUAAAGUGGCUGUAGAUGAUUAUUUAGAGCUUCAACUCCACACCUACUUCCUAAGACAUGGUCCUUCCCCAGGAUACUAUAUGUUAGGAACAAAUAGUUCCUCUUAAAAAUAUUUACCUUUUUGUUCCCUGUUCUCCAAAGCAAGUUCCUUGUCCUGGAACCUCCUCAUCCCUCACCUUCAUCACCUGCUUGGUCAACAACUCUUCCCACCAGUCCAAUCUGUAGAAAAAUAUGCCUCUCCACUUACUUCCAUGUUCCUGACCCUGCGAGUAAUCUUUCCUUCCUUUACCAUCUCUGGACAUGCCUGGACAUGCUUAAACAUCUUUCUCUUCACCACUUUUGUAACUGAUCUGUACCUCCCUUAUUUGGAAAUUGCUAAACAAUAUCCAAUCAAGGUCAACUUAGAUUGUGCAGUCCAAUCCCAGCCAAUGGGAAAGGCCACAGAAGUGGUGACUUCAUUAGGGAUAAAAAAAACCCCUGCUGUCCUUUGUUCAGUGUGCACUCUACACAGCCAAGAGUGUGAGUGGCACCAUUCUGCAGAAGUAAAUUUGCCUUGCUGAGAAAUCUUCAUUUAAGUGCUUAUUUUCUUUGCAACUCUGAGCAAUUGUUUCCAACAUAUAAAAUCAAAGGACUUUGACUUGAGCAGUAAGGCAUGAUGGUGUUAUUCCUUUCUGACAGAUGGGAUAUUUUAGGUUGCAUGUAUUUUCCAAAGAUGGUUGCAAAAAUAUCUUUCAUCACACUUGGUUUUUUUAGUUUGACCCACCACUCCCUCAUCAAGAGGUAAGGUCUCUCCACCCGCUUAAACAUGAGUAGAUCUGUUAUCUGCAUUAGUCAACAAAAUAUGGCAGAAGCCUGGUUGUGUCAGUUCUGGACACUGGUAUUAACCAUCUUGGCUGCAUCUGUUUCCCUUCACUUCAAUCCCUGAACCAUGUAAAACUCCCAGGCCAUCAACUGAGUCCAGCCUACACAUAGACCCCUAAGAGAGAUCAUAAAAAAUUCUUAGUUAUUACUUCCAUGAAUAUUUUUUUCUAUCCUUCCAAUUUCAACUUCUAUGUGUCCUUAGAGUCACAGUGAGUAUCUUGUAGUGAGGAUAUGGUUAGAUUUUUUUUAUUCUAUCCAUUGUGAUAACCUCUGAGUUCUGAUUGGGGAGUUUAAUCAUUUUACAUUUAAAGUAAUUACUGAUAAGGCAGGACUUAUUUCUGUAAUUGUGAUGUUGGUUUUAUGCAUGUCUUGUAGCUCUUUCAUCCCUCAUCUCCUUAGUUCCAACCUUCCUUUGUGUUUAGUCAAUUUUUUUCUAGUGGCAUGUUUCUAUUGCCUUCUCAUUUUCUUUUGUGUAUAGUUUAUGGAUAUUUUCUUUGUCAUUACUAUGAUAUUGUAUAUAACAAUACAGUUAUAACAGUCUUGAAUUGAAAUUAACAUGAAAACUCUGCUUUUUUACAUCUUUUUCCACCUCUCAUUUUACAUUAUUGAUGCCACAAAUUACACCUCAGCAGGCUGGCAGGCUGGAAAGUCACAAUGUUGCAGUCUUCAGUCUAAAAUUUGUAGACCAGGUUGGCAGACUGGAAACCUAAACUGUAGUUGCUGCUAUCACCUUGAGGCAGAAUAUUUUCUUUUCUGGGAAGACUCACAUUCUGCCCAGGCCUUCAGCUGAUUCAGAAAGUAUCACCCACAUUUUUUUAGGGUGAUUUCCUUUUUAUAAAGUCAACUGACAUCAGAUUUUAAUCACAAUGGCAAAACACCAUCAUUGCAACAUAUAAAUUUAGUGUUUGAUUAAAUAACUAGGCACUAUGGUUUAGUGAAAUUAACACAUUAAGAGCCAUUAUCCCAGUCCAGGCUUGUGAACUUGGCAUCCAUUAAUGUUUUCUUAAACCAUAGUCUCCAAAUAAAAACAACCAUAAAGUCAUAUGUUUGCCAAAGAUUAUACAACUAUCUUGCAUUCAACUAAAAACACACUGACCCUUUCCUCAGAAAAAGAUUCAAACUGAAUGCAUGAUAUGCACUCUUCUCUUUGAUAUACUGUAACCUAAAUACUAUGUUUAAUAAAAGGUAAACCAUCAUUAAUAAAAUGGAACUCUUGUUAUCACAUUUUAUGUUUUGUUACAAGAUGAUAAGGAAAAUAUGAAAACAAAGAUAUUUCUUUAAUACAUGUAUGGAUACAUACACACAGACAUAAAUAUCAUUAUAUAAACAUUAGAAACGGAGGAUCCAAGAUGGCAAAAUAGGAACAGCUCCAUAGUGCAGUUCCCAGCAAGAACAACACAGAGGGUGAGUGCCCACUGCAUUUCCAGAAGAAUUUUCAUAGCCCACAGACCAGGAGAUUCCCAGGCCGAAAAGUGCCACAAGUUUUCAGCAUGGUGGUUUCAGCCAGUGCUGCGUUGGCACACAGAAACACGCAAAUCUGGGCAGCCAUUCCAACUGGUGCCUGGAAUGCCUGGGAGACCGAGCCACCAAUUCAACUGAAAGGGAGGGGGCAGAGACAGGGAGUCAGGCAAUCUGGCUCAGCAGGUAACACUCCCACAAAACAAGCAAUCUGAAACGCUCUGGAUUGGGAGUUGCACGGCAAGUGCAGCUGGAGCUGGGACAGUCCAGCUCAGUUGGGGGAAGGGUGACCACCACUACCUAGGCAGUCUGCCACUACCAAGGCGGUUCACACAGCAGCUGGGCAGAGCCUGCAGCAUCUCAGCAGUGCCUCUCCUGGCAGACUGUGACUAGACUACUCUGUACAGGGCAGGGCAUCUAUGAAAAAAGGCAGCAGCAUGAAAGAAACUUAUAAAUAAAGCUGAACUUCCUAGGACAGAGCACCUGGGAAAAGAGGUGGUUAUGAGUUCUGCUGCAGCAGACUUAAAAGUACCUGCCCAGUAUCUCUUCACUGAACAAUGGAGCUCCCAUCACAGCACUUGAGCUCCUAUAAGGGACAGACUGCCUCCUCAAGCAGCUCCCUGACCUCCAUAUUCUCAAAGAGACACUUCAUAAAGGAGAGCUCAGGCUGAUAUCUGGCAGGUACCCUUCUGGGAUGAAGAUAAUAGAAGAAGAAACUGGCAGCAACCCUUACUGUUCUGCAGCCCUUGUGGGUUAUCCCCAGGCAAGCAGUGUCUGGAGUGGACCUCCAGCAGUCCUUCAACAAAGGGUCCUGACUGUGAGAAGGAAAACUAAAAAACAGAAAGAAAUAACUUUAUUAUCAACAAAAAGAACAUCCACUGAGAGACCCCAUCUGAAAGUCACCAACUACAAAUACCACAAAGAGAUAAAGCCACUAAGAUGGGAGGUGCCAUGAUCACUGCCCAGAGAGAAGGAGGUCGGCAGUGCAAGGAGCUGCUAUGGUGCUGAGUUCCCCGACAGAGCCAGCCGAGCUGAGGUGGUUGAGGCCAUGAAGGUGGGGGAGUGGUGCUAAGGAUCAUGUAUACUGUUUAAAAAAAAAUAACCCAAGCAUGAGACUGCUGAAUGAAGUCAUGGGAACUGGAGCUGUCAGGGACCAGCAGUCAGGAUUUGCAGGAGCCACCAGUCCAUUCAGAGUUACACCAAACCUUGAUUUUUCCACCUACCCACCAGCAGAUACGGAUUGGCCCAACAUAGUUUGCAAAGCCUGUGGACUUUCAUUUUCAGUCUUUAGAAAGAAGAUACAAAGUGAAAUCACUUCAGCAAACACAGAUGAUGAUGAGGAGGAGGAGGAUGACUAUGAAGAAGAAGAAAACGCAGAUGAUCAGACCCCUGGGCUCUCCAAGGAGAGAGUGAGAGCUUCACUGUCUACCUUGUCAGGCCUUGAUGAUGUGGAAGGGAUGAGCGUGCACCAGCUAAAGGAAAUUCUCUCUUGGAAUUUUGUCAACUAUUCUGGCUGUUGUGAAAAAUGGGAACUGGCAGAGAAAGUAAACCGGUUAUACAAAGAGAAUGAAGAAAACCAAAAGUCCUAUGGCUCCAGCUACAAGAUGAGGAAGAUGACAGCCUGUGUUGCAUCUGCAUGGAUGGCGUCAUUGACUGUGUCCUGCUGGAGUGUGGGCACAUGGUUACCUGCACCAAGUGCGGCAAGCGCAUCAGUGAGUGUCCCAUCUGCCAGCAGUAUGUGGUGCGAGCUGUGCACGUGUUCAAGUCCUAAAACUGAGGCUCCCCUCAACAGGACAGUCACCCCCAAACUUGACCCCAAAUAUUUCAGUGCACAGAAGGAACUAGAAAAUUACUGUUCAAAGGCUGAAGCUAUUUUUAAAAAUUAUUUUCACUACUAAGUGGGUGCAAAAAGAUCCAUACUGAGUUGUGGAAACCUUGGUCCAUGCCGUGAGCCUGCCUACCUGUGUACACAUGAGCUUCCCAGGCUCAGCUAGACUUUAUCAUACAUCCCAUGAACACUCAUUGAAGUCAGCCUGUUUGCACCAUGUGGGCAUCAGCCACUGCUGUCUUUGGAGGACAGUUAUCCUGUUCUCUUAUUUCCCCUUCAUCCUAUUUUUAACUUAAACUGCUCAGAUGUUUGAAACUUCUGUCCUUUUUGGAUGAGAUAAGUGUUCACAAGUGGCCGACAUGGAACAUGCUGAGCAUGGGCUCCUCUGAAUGUUCACUUUACUAGUCAUGUAUAUUUUAAAUGCUAAUAUUUGAUGAAUGUAAGUUUCCACAUUGUUGCUGUUUCUGCAUUUAGACAUAAUUGGGAACAACUGACAUUCUAUAGUCGACUGCCAGGGCCUUAGACUACACAUGUCCAUUUUUGUUCAGGUAUAGCUUUUUAUAGCAAGGGCUGCAUCUAGCUUCUUUUAUUAGAAGUGUGUGUGCGAAAUUCUAUAUUAGUGUGUAAUCAGUUUACACUGUUUUGUAGAGUAAAGGUGUAUUUUUAGUGCUACCCACUAGCUGAUUUUAACUUUAGAAAUAAAAUUACUUUUAAAAGCAAAAAAAAAAAAAGGCCACUAAGAUGGUAAGAAACCAGUGCAAAAAGGAUGAAAUCACCAAAAUCCAAAAUGUCUCUCCUCCUCCAAAGGAUCAAAACUCUUCACCAGCCAGAGAUCAAAAAUGGAUAGAGAAUGAAUCUGAUAAAUUGAUGGAAACAACCUUCAGAAGAUGGGUAAUAGCAAACUUCUCAGAGCUAAAAAAACAUGUUCUAACCCAAUGCAAAGAAACUAAGAACCUAGAAAAAAGAUUAGAUGAGAUGCUAACUAGAAUAAGCAGCUUAGAGAAGAAUAUAAAUGACUUGAUAGAGCUGAAAAACACAGCACGAGAACUUCAUGAAGCAUACAAAAGUUUUACUAGUCAAAUUGACCAAGCAGAAGAAAAGCUAUCAGAGAUUGAAGGUCAAUUCAAUGAAAUAAAACAAAAAGGCAAGAAUAGAGAAAAAAGAGUGAAAAGAAAUGCACAAAGCCUCCAAAAAAUAUGGGAUUAUGUGAAAAGACCUAAUCUAUGUUUGAUAGGUGUACCUGAAUGUGACAGACAGAAUUAAUCCAAGCUGGAAAACACUCUUCAGGAUAUUAUCCAGGAGACCUUCCCCAAUCUAGCAAGCCAGUCCACCAUUCAAGUCCAGGAAAUACAGAGAAUGCCAAAAAGAUACUCCUUGAGAACAGCAACCCCAAGGCACAUAAUCAUCAGAUUCACCAGAGUUGAAAUGAAGGAAAAAAUGCUAAGUGCAGCCAGAAAGAAAGAUAGGGUUACUCACAAAGGGAAGCCCAUCAGACUCACAGCGGAUCUCUCAGAAGAAACCCUACAAGCCAGAAGAUAAUGGGGGCCAAUAUUCAACAUCCUUAAAGAAAAGGACUUUCAACACAGAAUUUCAUAUCCAGCCAAACUAAGCUUCAUAAAUGAAGGGGAAAGAAAAUCCUUUAUGGACAAGCAAUUACUGAGAGAUUUUGUCACCACCAGGCCUGACUUACAAGAGCUCCUGAAAGAAGCACUAAACAUAUCAAAUGGUAAAGAGCAUCCACACAAUGAAAAAAAAUGCAUCAACUCAUGGGCAAAACAACCAGCUAGCAUCAAAAUGGCAGGAUCAGAUUCAGACAUAACAACAUUAACCUUAAAUGUAAAUGGGCUAAAUGCCCCAAUCAAAAGACACAUACUGGAAAAUUGGAUAAAAAGUCAAGACCCAUUGAUGUGCUGUAUUCAGGAAACCCAUCUCACAUGCAAGGACACACAUAGGCUCAAAAUAAAGAGAUGGAGGAAUAUUUAUCAAGCAAAUGGAGAGCAAAAAAAAAAAAAAAAAAAAAGCAGGAGUUGCAAUCCUAGUCUCUGAUAAAAUGGACUUUAAACCAACAAAGAUCAAAAGAGACAAAGAAGGGCAUUACAUAAUGGUAAAAGGAUCAAUACACCAAGAAGAAAUAAUGAUCCUAACAUAUAGGCACUCAAUACAGGAGCAUCCAGGUACAUAAAGCAAGUUAUUAACUACCUACAAAGAGACUCAGACUCCCACACAAUAAUAGUGGGAGAUUUUAACACUCCACUGUCAAUGUUAGACAGAUCAACGAGACAGAAAAUUAACAAGGAUAUACAGGACUUGAACUCAAAUCUGGACUAAGUGGACCUAAUACACAUCUACAGAAAUCUCCACCUGAAAUCCACAGAAUAUACAUUCUUAUCAGCACCACAUCACACCUACUCUAAAAUUGACCACAUAAUUGGAAGUAAAUCACUCCUCAGCAAAUGCAAAAAAUGGAAAUAACAAACAGUCUUUCAGACCACAGGGCAAUCAAAUUUGAACUCAGAAUUAAGAAACUAACUCAGAACUGCACAGCUUCAUGGAAACUGAACAACUGGCUCCUGAGUGUCCACUGGAUAAACAAUGAAAUGAAGGCAGAAAUAAAGAAGUUCUUUGAAACCAAAGAUAACAAAGACACAACAUACCAUAAUCUCUGGGACACAUUUAAAACAGUGUCUAGAGGGAAAUUCAUAGCAAUAAAUGCCGACAUGAGAAGUGAGGAAAGAUCUAAAACUGACACCCUACCAUCAAAAUGGAAAGAGCUAGAGGAGCAAGAUCAAAAAACAAAAACUCAAAAUCCAGCAGAAGACAAGAAAUAACUAAGAUCAGAGCAGAACUGAAGGAGAUAGAGACACAAAAAAAAACCCUUAAAGAAAUCAAUAAAUGCAGGAGCUGGUUUUUUGAAAAGGUCAACAAAAUACACAGACCACUAGCCAGAUUAAUAAAAAAGAAGAGGGAGAAGAAUCAAAUCCAUGCAAUAAAAAACAAUAAAGGGGAUAUCACCACUGAUUCCUCAGAAAUACAAACUACAAUCAGAGAUUACUACAAACAACUCUAUGCACGUAAACCAGUAAACCUGGAAGAAAUGGAUAAAUUCCUGGACACUUGCACCCUCCCAAGCCUAAACCAGGAAGAAGUUGAAACCUUGAAUAGGCCAAUAACAAGGGCUGAAGUUGAGGCAGCAAUGGUCUACCAAAUAAAGAAGUCCAGGUCGAGACGGGUUCACAGCUGAAUUCUACCAAACAUACAAAGAGGAGCUGGUACCAUUCCUUAUGAAACUCUUCCAAACAAUACAAAAAGAGGGAAUUCUCGGGGUCCAAAAUGGCUCCCGCUGGAGGUCGUGGUGCUUGCGAAGGCGAGGUCAUCAGUUCAAGGCUAACCUGAGCAACCUCAUAAGCUCAAACGGAUUGGCAAAAAAAAAAAAAGAGGGAAUUCUCCCAAAUCAUUUUAUGAGACCAACAUCAUCCUGAUACCAAAACCUGGCAGAGAUUCAGCAUGAAAAAGAAACUUCAGGCCAAUAUCCACGAGGAACAUAGAUGCAAAAAUCUGCAAUAAAAUACUAGCAAACUGACUGCAACAGCACUUCAAAAACUUUAUCCAUCACAAUCAAGUAGGCUUCAUUCUGGGGAUGCAAAGCAGGUUCAACAUACACAAGUCUAUAAAUGUAGUCCACCACAUAAACAGAACCAAAGGCAAAAACCACAUGAUUAUCUCACUAGAUGCAGAGAAGGCCUUUGACAAAAUUCAACAGUGCUUUGUGCUAAAAACUCUCAAUAAACUAGGUAUUGACAGAAUGUAUGUGAAAAUAACAAAAGCUAUUUAUGACAAACCCACAGCCAGUAUCAUACUGAAUGGGCAAACUGGAAGCAUUCUCUUUGAAAUCUGGCACUAGACAAGCAUGCCCUCUCUCACCACUCCUAUUCAAGGUAGUAUUGGAAGUUCUAGCCAGGGCAAUUAGGCAAGAAAAAGAAAUAAAGGAUAUUCAAAUAGGAAAAGAGGAAGUCAAUUUGCAGAUGACAUAAUUGUAUAUUUAGAAGAACCUAUCAUCUCGGCCCAAAACCUGCUGAAACUGAUAAGCAACUUCAACAAAGUCUCAGGAUACAAAAUCGAUGUUCAGAAAUCACAAGCAUUUCUAUACACUAAUAACAGACUAACAGAGAGCCAAAUCAUGAGCAAACUCCCAUUCACAAUUGCUACAAAGAGAAUAAAAUACCUAGGAAUACAACUAACAAAAGAUGUAAAGGUCCUAGUAAAGGAGAACUACAAACCACUGCUCAAUGAAAUAAGAGAGGACAAAAACAGAUGGAAAAACAUUCCAUGCUCAUGGUUAGGAAGAAUCAAUAUCGUGAAAAUGGCCAUACUGCCCAAAGUAAUUUACAGAUUCAAUGCUAUCCCUAUCAAGCUACUAAUGACCUUCUUCAUAGAACUGGAAAGAAACCACCUUAAACUUCAUAUGGAACUGAAAGAGAGCCUGCAUAGCCAAGACAAUCCUAAGCAAAAAGAACAAAGCCAGAGGCAUCACGCUACCUGAUUUCAAACUAUACUACAAUGCUACAGUAAUCAAAACAGCAGGGUACUGGUACCAAAACAGAGAUAUAGACCAAUGGAACAGAACAGAGGCUCUGGAGGCAACACCACACAUCUACAACCAUCUGAUCUUUGACAAACUUGGCAAAAACAAGCAAUGGGGAAAGGAUUUCCUGUUUAAUAAAUGGUGUUGGGAAAACUGGCUAGCAGUGUGCAGAAAGCAGAAACUGGACCCCUUCCUGACAGCUUACACUAAAAUUAACUCCAGAUGGAUUAAAGACUUAAACAUAAGACCUAAGACCAUAAAACCCUUAGAAGAAACCUAGGCAAAACCAUUCAGGACAUAGGCAUAGGCAAGGACUUCCUGACUAAAACACCAAAAGCAUUGGCAACAAAAGCCAAAGAGAGAAAUGGGACCUAAUUAAAUUCCACAGCUUCUGUACAGCAAACGAAACAAUCACUAGAGUGAACCCGCAACCAACAGAAUGGGAAAAACAUUUUGCAAUCUACCCAUCCGACAAAGAGCUACUAUCCAGAAUCUACAAAAAAACAAAAACAGAUUUACAAGAGAAAAACAAACAAACCCAUCCAAAAGUGGGAGAAGGAUAUGAGCAGACACUUUUCAAAGGAAGACAUAUAUAAGGCCAACAAACAUAUGAAAAAAUGUUCAUUAUCACUGUUUAUUAGAGAAAUGCAAAUCAAAACCACAUUGUGAUCUCACCUCAUUCCAAUUAGAAUGACGAUCAUCAAAAAAUCUGGAGACAACAGAUGCUGGAAAGGAUGUGAAGAAAUAGGAACACUUUUACACUGUUGAGGGGAGUGUAAACUAAUUCCACUAUUGUGGAAGACAGUGUGGCACUUCCUCAAGGACCUAGAAAUAGAAAUUUCAUUUCACCAAGCAAUCAGAUUACUGGGUAUAUACCCAAAGGAUUAUAAAUCAUUCUAUUAUAAAGACACAUGCACACAUAUGUUUAUAGUGGCACUGUUUACAGUAGCAAAGACCUGAAACCCACCCAAAUGCCCAUCGAUGAUAGACUUGACAAGGAAAAUGUGGCACAUAUACACCAUGGAAUACUAUGCAGCCAUAAAAAAUGAUGAGUUUGUGUCCUUUGUAGGGACAUGGAUGAAUCUGGAAACCACCAUUCUCAGCAAACUGACACAAGAACAGAAAAUCAAACACUGCAUGUUCUCACUCAUAGGCAGUGUUCAACAAUGAGAACACAUGGACACAGGGAGGGGAGCAUCACACACUGGGGUCUGUUGGUGGGGCCAACGGAGGGACAGCGGGGGGAUGGGGAGGUUUUGGAGGGAUAACAUGGGGAGAAAUGGCAGAUGUAGGUGACAGGGGGAUGGAGGCAGCAAACCACAUUGCCAGGUGUGUACCUAUGCAACAAUCCUGCAUGAUCUGCACAUGUACC